UACGAGGGGGGCAAAUGUUGUUCGGAAUCACUGGGCGUAAAGGGUGCGUAGGCGGUUCUUUAAGUCAGGGGUGAAAUCCUGGAGCUCAACUCCAGAACUGCCUUUGAUACUGGGGAUCUCGAGUCCGGGAGAGGUGAGUGGAACUCCGAGUGUAGAGGUGAAAUUCGUAGAUAUUCGGAAGAACACCAGUGGCGAAGGCGGCUCACUGGCCCGGUACUGACGCUGAGGUGCGAAAGCGUGGGGAGCAAACAGG
rnacentral:rRNA from 1 species